rnacentral:rRNA from 1 species
UAGGGGGCAAGCGUUAUCCGGAUUUACUGGGUGUAAAGGGAGCGUAGGUGGUUCGGCAAGUCAGAAGUGAAAGCCCGGGGCCCAACCCCGGGACUGCUUUUGAAACUGUCGGACUUGAGUGCUAGAGAGGUAAGUGGAAUUCCUAGUGUAGCGGUGAAAUGCGUAGAUAUUAGGAGGAACACCAGUGGCGAAGGCGGCUUACUGGACAGUAACUGACACUGAGGCUCGAAAGCGUGGGGAGCAAA